CAAUGAUGUGUUCCAUCAGUAAAGUUCCAAAGACAAGAUGAUCUAUCACCUUCUCCGGUUCCCCUCUCUGUCGUGGUAUCUGGUACGAUCUGCAGCACUAUUAAUACAUGUGGCUUAGCUUUCCAUGUGUAACUCAGGACAUCCAGUGGACUUGCUAGUUACACGAGAUUGCAACACAGUACAUGUACAGUACGCAACAGUAUGGCGUCCUCCAUGGAAGAUGCCCUUACCUUUCAGACUAACUGGCCAUUAGACAGCCGUUACAGAAUUACCCACCAAACCAGGACCAAGCGGCGGAAGAGGAAGGAGCAGCAGGACUACUGCGUUAUGGACAAAUGGACAUGGGAACAGAUCCUGGACGGAGAGGGACCAUGGACUCAGGCUGGGGAUUAUCGCCUCCCGCAGUGGGAGAUUGAAGCGGCGAGAGCGGAGAGGCGAUACUACGAGGAGAGAGAGCGCAACGAGCGCGAGAGGCAGCCCCAAUAUUUUUUUGGGGGGGCACACGGGACAGUCGGUGGAGCUGAGGUCGGAACCAGAGCCAGUCGGGAUGACAUUGGAGGUGAGCGAGGGCUAUGAGACAGAGACUGUGACGGGGUUAAUGGGAAAAUUAGGAGAGAGAGAGAUGAGAGAGCUGCUAGUGUGGUG
rnacentral:lncRNA from 1 species